GAUAGCGCCACUGCACUCUAGCCUGGGCAACAGAGCAAGACUCUGUCUCAAAAAAAAUUGGCCAGUAUCCCAUCAGCUUUAUAGCUUGACUUAUUUCCCCUGCUGUGGGACUCGACACUGUAGGAAUGAGGCUUCCUAGUGAUGCAGAACUAAACUCCUGAAUAUGAAAGGAGCCCAGAACCUGUUGAGUACAUCUACUAUGCUUUACUCAAAAUAUCUUAAUGAAAAUGGAGAAAUGUGAAAUUAAAUAAUUCAAAUUUAAAGCUGUUAGAAUUUUCAAGUAUUCCAGCCUUGAGAGGAAUGUGGCUAUGUGGCCUGAGUCACUUGAUGUGCAGCUGCAACUUCUGCCUUUUUUUUCCCCUAUAAAUCAUUAAGAAGACUAGAUGGCACCAGAGAUAAGACCCCCCCACCCCCAAGAUCACUACCUCUCCUCAUAGAAUGAAGCAAAUGUAGCAUUUUGUAACCAAUCAAAUCCCUGCAAUGUAUGCACUUGGCUUGUAUGGAAAAUGUUGUAAUUCUGCUAAAAUUUCUGUCUCUGCUUAUGUAAGUGAAACAUUAACUUUUCCUCUUUGAAACACUGACGCCAUUUGUUUGGAGUAAGUGUUUCCUGGUGGCAAGCUUUGUGCUUGAAUAAGCUCUAUACUUAAUCAUAUGUUCUGAAUCUCAUUACAUAAAGUUGACAGGUUGUUUCUACAAGUGGAGGAACAACAUGAGCACGCACUGUCAUGAUGAUUGAUUUCUAGUCCACAAGUAUACAGUCUUCAAAUUAAGUAUAAUUUGGCCUGAAAUCACAUUGUCCAUUAGCAAAAUAUUCCAUUGUAUUCAUUUGAGGAGCUUUCUCUCCUCCAUGGGUCAAAAUAAGCAUCCCAGGAUUAUGCUCAUCCCCAAAAAUAGGAUAGAGGUGUGAGUUUGUUUAAUUGGCUACUUGCUGCUCCCUGACACAGGUCCCUGUCCUCUUCCAUGUGGACUGUGUGCCCUGGGUAGGCUCAGCUGUCCUCUCUACUGAUCACAGGCUGACUGUGCCUCCAUCUGCAGCAGCACACCAUAGAAUUAUCUUCCACUGGUCUCAUAGCUUCAGCCUUAAACUGGAAAGAACCUUUCCUUACUUCCCUCACUAUCUGGAAGAUCCCACAAUGCUGGCCUUUUCUGAAGAAAGAUGCUCAUCUUUUUUUUUUAAUUCCUUCAUAGUUCUCCUUUUUAUAAAAGGAAGGCAAAGAGGCAUUAAACAGCAUGACUCACUGGGAAAACUAGUACUUCAGCCAGACAGAAGGGUUCACUGGAGGAUGGGAAGUUCAGAAGAAUAUGGCUGGGGGGAUGAACACCUCAUUAGAAGGGUUUAUAGGGUAUUAGAAUAAUUUUGUAUUUAUCUAGGCAUUGAGGAGACCAGGGUGAUUGAAGGCUUUACACAGAACAGUAGCAAAAUUACAUUUUCAUUUGAAAAGGAAACUCUGAUGCUGGUACGGAGAGUGGUUGGAGGGAAGCAAGGCUGUAAACAGUGAUACCAGUUAGGAGACCAUGGCAGUAGUUCAAGAAACAGAUGUUGUGAGCCUAGUGCCUUAAUCCUCUCCUGAAUCAGAGAGUCUCCUUUCCACUGGCCUAUGACUAGGACCAUAGGCCAAUCUCCAACUAUAAAAGACAAAAAGCCCUGGUACAAACAUUUCUAGGCUUGCUUGCAUCUUGAGUUAAGACUUAAUAAGAUGAUAUUACAAUUCAUUCUGGCAGUGUUGGCAGAGGCAACAGCAGCAAUGAUGCUCUACGGGCCUGACUCAGGGCCAGCAGUGACAGCAGCCCAAGAAUUCUGGAGGAAAGUGACUCUGGGAACGGGUCAGUGGCUCGGUGAUGUUGGGACCAACAAGUCUGCAAUUCUCCUGACCUGUUCUUCACAAUUGUAAGAUGGCUGCUGCAAUUUCAGGCAUCGUGUCCAUGUUAAUGUCAGGAGGAAGAGAGGAAGAGGGAGCACUGGGAUGUUGCGUUCAUUUGCUUUGGAAAAGCAAAGCCUUUCCAGACAGCCCCGAAACCUGCUUACCUCUCAUUGGCCGGCACCAUCACUUGACCACUUGUCCACUCCUAGCUGCAAGGAAAGUGGCAAAGUGGAAGGUAUUUGAGAACGUCUGCUGGGUUAGCCAAAACAAUAGUGACUUCUACACCCAGUUUUCUGGGCACUGCUUAAAUAUCCUUGAUUCCCAUGUGAGCAGAGGGAGAGCAAACCUUAAUAAUGAAAGAGAUUCAAUUUCCAUCACCCAGUGAGACACCAUAGGAGUAGAAUAAAUUUUUAAAGAAAACAAAUUGAAAAAAAAAAUGCGUUUUUGAAACAACAAAAUUAGAAAAGAUGAAAGGUGAUAUUUCCAGCAUAUCAGUUUGUGGUGGUACAUUGAUUACCUUAUACACAGGCCUCAGUGACUUUCUUCUCCUUACCUAAUGAGUCAUCUUUAAUUAAAGUAAAGAAGCAAGAGCAGCAACAGAUGCUUCCUAACAAGAAGUUACCAAAUCUGUUCACCACAAACCUGAGAAUUCAGCUGUGGACAUUUGGACACCGGCAAUGAACAUGAAACUCAGCUUAUGACGCACAUUUGGCUAAAGGUCAAGGUGACUUAAAGUUCAUCAUAGGACCUCUAUAAUUUGCAAAGCAGGUGGCUGGAUAGGGACUCCUUCCUAGUCUCAUUUGAUUGGAUAAUGCCUAUGUUUUCAGUAUCAGAAGUGAGUCUUUCUCUGUUAAAUGAAGUCAGUUCCACUAAAAUCCUAAUCUUGUUUGGCAGGCACUCCAUAUUUCUUAAUUUUUAUUCCAUGCUGUAUAUUCUUUUAGACUUGAUUUUCACUUUUUUUUUUUCUUUUUUCCUGUAAGUUUAUCUUUGUUGUGAAACAAAGUGCCCUGGUUAGAAAGACAGGUUUGUGGGCUGCUGGUGAUGGGACAACAGCAGUCCUUCCAAGUCUUCCUCCCAUCACUCUGUUAGCUCUGUCUUUGUUUUUAAUUAGCAUUACACCAAUUAAUUCUGUUGUCUCUUAACCCUGGUUCUGUACCCCCUUCCUCUUUUCUUUUCCUUACUCCGCUCCUGUUUUCUCUUGUACUGCUUUUCCAAGAACUGUCUUGUCUCCUCAUCGGUUGACUGUCUUCUCUUUCCAGAGGGACCAUAAAGGUGCCGGCCUAAGGAACCCAUAGAACGUGGGAACAGACAAACAAGCUGCUGCCUAUUACAGAGAUAGAUAAUUAAGUUCAGACCAUUACAUGCAAUUCAUCAGCUUAUCUUUUUCAGACUUUAUAUAAGAAGUCAUUUCCCAAUGGUCACCACUUGCCAGCUGCAACUUUGAUGCAUGUUACGAAGUUAGAUUAGAUUGAUGGGGGCCCUUUGAACUCUUACCAGGGAAUUAUCUUUAUAAUGCUACGGUUUUCUCUAUAGCAUGAUCAUAUUGUUAAUAUUGGUUAUAAGGUCAUAUGGUUAGUAUUGGUGGCUCACAGCUGUAAUACCAGCACUUUGGGAGGCCGAGGUGGGAGGAUCACUUGAGCCCAGGUGUUCAAAACCAGUCCUGGAAACAUAGCAAGACCUUAUCGCUACAAAAAAAUAUUAAAUAAAUAAAAAGAUUAGCUGGGCAUGGUGGCACAUGUCUGUAGUCUUCACUACUUGGGAAACUAAGGUGGGAGGAUUCCUUGAGCUUGGGAGGUUGAGACUGCAGUAAGCUGUGGUUGUGCCACGGCACUCCAGCCUGGGUGACAGAGUGAGGCCCUGUCUCAAAAAGAAAAAAGAAAAAAAAAAAGUACCUGUAAGGUCUUUGGGAUUUCUAAGAUGAAAGGUGUCACAUAGUUGAAUGAAUUCACUUAGAGAGAUAGAAGGCAACUACAGGGAAUAUUACGUACAUCAUGGAGCUGAAAGCACUAAGGCCUGUGGAGUUAUUCUCAGUCACACGUAGUUGAAGGCAGUGGUCCACAUGUUUUGAACAUGGUUUCUCCCAGGUGAAAAGGAUGAGUAAUUUGUUCUUCUUCAUGUGUGUGUAUGUAAGUCUUACACACAGCAGAUUUGCCACAAAACAAAUGAAGAUUACACUUUGGGUCCGUCUCUCACAUGAGCCCCUUCCAAAAUUCCGUCUGCUAAUUUUACAUUUUGUAAUUUCUUAUUAUUUUUUUUAAAGAAGGCUCCUCCAAUUGCAUAAGCUUCAAGCCUCACAAAAUUUGGAUCCAUACCUGAGCCAACAUAUAAUACAAUUUUCCAUUUCUAACUUCUAGUUGUACCUAGUGUUUUGUUAGAAAUGAUCAAGUACAUGAGUGGUGUCUUUUUCAAAAAUUUGCUUUAUUUGCUUCUCUAGCUUCAUCCUUAGUUAUGCAGUUAAAUCUAACCAUUUGGAGGUAUUUUCAUAUAACUUCCAUUGAGGACAAUUUGGCUAUAGCUUUUAAAAUUAUAUAUAUAUUUGUACAAUUGUAAGCUGCCAUAUCUAUAAAACUAUUUGAUAGACAAAAGUUGAAAACACUCCAAGAGCUCAUCAAUAAAAGAUUAAAUUAAUUAUGAUACAUCCAUAUGAACACUAAGCAGCUGUAAAAAAAUUGAGAAAGUAAUUUAUGUGCUGAUAUGGGAAGACUUCCAAGACAUGUUGUUAAGUAUAGAAUGGUGUAUACAGUAUGCUAUAUAGUAUGGUAAAAUGUUUAGGGAUUCGCAUUUAUAUUUAUAAUUGUUUGUAUUUACAUAAAGUAAUUCUGAAAGGAUACAAAGAAACUAACAAAAGAGAUUACCUAUGGUAGUGUGGGGCUUGGGGAUUGGAUGGGUGAGAAACAGUAGUGGAAAUGUGAUAUUGUACAGUUUUAGGCAUUAUACAUAUAUAAAAACAUGGGAGUGUAUUACCUACUCAAAAAGUAAAAUUAACAAAGAUACAAGAAACUGUUUGGAGGUUCCUUCCCAUUUCAUUGUAUCUAUAUUCUUUCAGCCCUCAAAGUCAUUAUAAAUGUCAUUAUAAUAACUUCAUCAAGCUUCCCCUAUAAUGAGAAUCUUACCAUUCUCCUAACUCCAGUAGCACUGUAAUCCACCUCUGUUAGGACACAUCACUCUUCAUCAUGUGUGAUUAUUAUUUGCAGACAUCAUCUUCAAGGCUGUUCUCUAUUUACCACCUGCCAUUUUUGUUCUCACCUCUACAUGACCUUCACAUUUUAUUUCUCUCAGUUUUUUUGGACAAGCUACAUUCCCUUCCACAGAGAAGACUUCUCUGACCCCUUUCACUUGGUUAGAUUACCUUGCUAUUCUUUUCUAUCUUUCUACAUUCCUUUUCAAAAUACUUAUCUCACUUGUUAUUACCUAUAAUGUCUGUCUUCUUUACUCAAGAGUCUAGACAAAAAGCUCCACGCCAGCCUCGGCUGUGUUUGUAUUGUUUACGUCUGUGUUCCUAGUACUUAAUAAAAUACCUAACAAGGGUUAAUAAGUACUUGUUGACUGGAAGGGAAUGACUUCCUUCCCUUACGAGGGAGUGAUUUCCUUACAGGCAAGAUAUGUCAACCUUCUAUAGCCUACAUAAAAUAAAGCACAAUAUCGCCUAUUGGAUAAAAGACAAAA